GGGCCCGUGGCUUAGACUGGUUAUAGCGCCGCUCUGAUAAGGCGGAAGCCGGGUGUUCAAAUCACCCCGGGCCCACCA
rnacentral:tRNA from 2 species